UGAAAGACAACGAGGUGGGCCUACUAGAUGUCAGGAAGAGACUGGGAAGUGGGGCUUCUAGAACGUGCUGGAUUCUCCCUUCCAGUGUCGCCAACUAAGAAAGAGAAAGCAAGUGGGGGCGGGCUGCACUUGAGCUAGUGGCACGCAGAGGUGCGGGGCGGAGCGACACCAGGAAGAGGAGAAAGGAGGGAAGAAAAGGAAGAUCGCGGAGAAAGUCAUCAGGCCUAGAAGUAUUCAGAGCAUUCAGCAGCCAUCGAAGAAAGGACGACGUCAUCAUGGCCUCAGUGUCCACUCAUGGAAACCAAGAGAAAAGCCCCCACUUGCCACCACUGAGCAAGCAGAGCCUGUUGUUUUGCCCAAAAUCAAAACUGCACAUCCACAGAGGAGAGAUUGCCAAGAUUAUCCGAGAGUGUCAAGAAGAAAGUUUCUGGAAGAGAGCUCUGCCUUUUUCUCUUAUAAGCAUGCUUGUCACCCAGGGACUUGUCCAUCAAGGUUAUUUAGCUGCUAAUCCAAGAUUUGGAUCAUUGCCUAAAGUUGCUCUGGCUGGUCUCCUGGGAUUUGGCCUUGGGAAGGCUUCCUACAUCAGAGUGUGCCAGAGUAAAUUCCAUUCCUUCGAGGAUCAGCUCCGUGGUGCUGGUUUUGGUCCCGAGCACAACAGGCACUGCCUGCUUACAUGUGAGGAGUGCAAAACCAGACGCGGAUUAAGCGAGCAGAAAGGGCCCCAGCCAUCCCAUUCCUAAACUGUGUAUGUGGGUUUACAAUGAUCUCUAAACCUCUGAAUAUGUGUACAUUUAGACUUUCAAAUGUUCUUUAAGAUAAUCUACUUCUGUUGAAACAGAAACCUUGUAACUCUUGCGUUCCUUUGAAAUGCUUGCAGUGGAAGGCUCUGGGUAGACCUGAGCAUGGCACGUUCUUCUGUUCUUUAAGAACAAGCAGGAAAUGAAGUUAACACCCCACAUAGCUUAGCACUUCCUGAGAGAAUUUUGAGUAGCUUCUGGGUUAGUCCUCCCUGCAAUUCUUUCACUCUGCUUCUCCCCCAGACCAGUGAUUUAAGUUCUCUGCCAGGGAACAUGAAUGAAUGAUCUGGAAGUUAGUUGGGAAGCCAUGGCCCAAAGAAAAUUCAUGUAUGUGGAGGUAGAAAUCCAGGAAAGAUUGUGUUUUAGUACUAGAUGUCCUUCCUAAGGUCUAGGGGCUGAGAUCUAUAACUCAGUGGAAAACAUUUCCUGUGACAGGGUCACCAUACAAACCAGCUGAUGUGGACCACAUGACUUGGUGGCUCAUCACAAUGGUGGAGCUGUAAAAGUGCCCAUAAUCUAUCUGUAGGUGGCCCACUUGGCUCAUGGGUUCAUUUUCAACUCAACAGCGGGUUCUUUUACCAAUUAUUUGUGUCCCCAGGGAUGAAGGACAACUCCCUAACCUGUUCUCCCAUAGAACAGCACCAAGGACUGAAGUAAUUCUAAAAAUGAGAAAUGGUUGGGGCUUUCUAGAGCUCAGAGGCAGCCAGUGCAGUGGCAUGAGUUGUACUUCUUCUCCAGACAAUCUGUUACAUGGAAAGUGCAGUUCUUCCUUUUUGGAACCUUUCUGCUUUAUGGCUGGUUGGCUUAACACUUUGAGAAAGUUACCCUUACAUCUUUGCGUCUUCUCAGGAAAACGCUUUGUCUGCAAAUCACCAUUUAAAUAUAGGUUAUGUUUGUGUGGGGUAGUGGGUGGGGUGCUUUUACUCAAUAUAUCUACAAGCCUGGACCAUAGAGGUAAAAAGGGAAAUUUCACCUGAGGUUAAUAUUUGAUGUAAACAAAUUUUAUUUUAAGCAUCAAAAUCAUGUGGGAGUUUAUUUUUGUGUGAACGUUAAAUGAAUGAAAUGGAGUGGUUUGACAGAGCUGAUUUUUCUACGACACAUCCUGUUUGACGGUCAAUAAAAUUCUAUUCUGAAAAAUCAAAAGACA